rnacentral:lncRNA from 1 species
AUCCACCCAAGACCCGGUUCCUCGAUUCCCAUCCUUACGACCGAGGAAAAAAGAGUAAAUUUUCCUAUUAUAGCCUUCUCUCGCACCUUCCCCGCUUCCCACCAGCCGUCUCCACUGUCCUCACCGUCCCCAUCCUCAUCCAUGGCGAAAUCUUCGCCCCCAGCCUCGUGAAGAUCUAGCACGUCCGCCAUCUCGCCUUCGAUCGAGAUCUCGUCUGUGCCGCUCAGACACUAGGUACCUCGGGAAACUGUCGCAGAGGGGAAAGGUCGCCAGUCAAGCUGACCAAUCAAAGGCUAACUCUAAAUCCCUCCCUCUGCACGGUAAAAACACGCAAAUUGGGGCGGGCCUAGUGCGGAAAGAUACCGGAAGUGUUUCUGUGGCCAUCUUGAACAGAUCGCAAGCUAAAUCAUCCAUCUUAGGAGAAACGGGGCUUUGCCAUGUCUCAAACUCCUGGCCUCAAGUGAUCCACCCGCCUCAGCCUCCCAAAGUGCUGGGAUUACAGGCCUGAGCCACCAUGCCCAGCCAGGAAGAUGCUGUUGACUGGGGCAAAGAAUAAUGGGAGAAAAACAGCUGGGUCCUAAAUAACAGAGGGAAACCAACUUUCAAUAAAGUAUUCAACAACUAAUCCACAAAGCAGAUAACUGAACUUGCUGGCCUGCUCUAUAGUGCUGUUGCUUAAAAAGUCAUCUGUGAAGAAAACCAGAGGGAGAAAUUUCACCUGCCAAAGUGGAUAAAGAG